rnacentral:rRNA from 1 species
UACGAAUGGGGCUAGCGUUGCUCGGAAUCACUGGGCGUAAAGGGUGCGUAGGCGGGUCUUUAAGUCAGGGGUGAAAUCCUGGAGCUCAACUCCAGAACUGCCUUUGAUACUGAAGAUCUUGAGUUCGGGAGAGGUGAGUGGAACUGCGAGUGUAGAGGUGAAAUUCGUAGAUAUUCGCAAGAACACCAGUGGCGAAGGCGGCUCACUGGCCCGAUACUGACGCUGAGGCACGAAAGCGUGGGGAGCAAACAGG